AUUGAACGCUGGCGGCAUGCUUUACACAUGCCAGUCGAACGGCAGCGCGGGGCAACCUGGCGGCGAGUGGCGAACGGGUGAGUAAUACAUCGGAACGUACCCAGAAGUGGGGGAUAACGUAGCGAAAGUUACGCUAAUACCGCAUACGUUCUACGGAAGAAAGUGGGGGACCUUCGGGCCUCAUGCUUUUGGAGCGGCCGAUGUCUGAUUAGCUAGUUGGUGAGGUAAAGGCUCACCAAGGCGACGAUCAGUAGCUGGUCUGAGAGGACGACCAGCCACACUGGGACUGAGACACGGCCCAGACUCCUACGGGAGGCAGCAGUGGGGAAUUUUGGACAAUGGGCGCAAGCCUGAUCCAGCAAUGCCGCGUGAGUGAAGAAGGCCUUCGGGUUGUAAAGCUCUUUUGUCAGGGAAGAAACGGCUGAGGAUAAUACCUUCGGCUAAUGACGGUACCUGAAGAAUAAGCACCGGCUAACUACGUG
rnacentral:rRNA from 1 species